rnacentral:rRNA from 1 species
AAUACGAAGGGACCUAGCGUAGUUCGGAAUUACUGGGCUUAAAGAGUUCGUAGGUUGUUGAAAAAGUUGGUGGUGAAAUCCCAGAGCUUAACUCUGGAACUGCCAUCAAAACUUUUCAGCUAGAGUUUGAUAGAGGAAAGCAGAAUUUCUAGUGUAGAGGUGAAAUUCGUAGAUAUUAGAAAGAAUACCAAUUGCGAAGGCAGCUUUCUGGAUCAUUACUGACACUGAGGAACGAAAGCAUGGGUAGCGAASAGGAUUAGAUACCCUCGUAGUCCAUGCCGUAAACGAUGUGUGUUAGACGUUGGAAAUUUAUUUUCAGUGUCGCAGCGAAAGCGAUAAACACACCGCCUGGGGAGUACGACCGCAAGGUUAAAACUCAAAUGAAUUGACGGGGACCCGCACAAGUAGUGGAGCAUGUGGUUUAAUUCGAAGAUACGCGCAGAACCUUACCAACACUUGACAUGUUCGUCGCGACUUUAAGAGAUUAAAGUUUUCGGUUCGGCCGGACGAAACACAGGUGCUGCAUGGCUGUCGUCAGCUCGUGUCGUGAGAUGUUGGGUUAAGUCCCGCAACGAGCGCAACCCACACUUUUAGUUGCCAUCAUUUAGUUGGGCACUCUGAAAGAACUGCCAGUGAUAAGCUGGAGGAAGGUGGGGAUGACGUCAAGUCCUCAUGGCCCUUACGUGUUGGGCUACACACGUGCUACAAUGGUAUUUACAACAGGAAGCAAAACGGCGACGUUAAGCAAAUCCUUAAAAAAUACCUCAGUUCGGAUUGCACUCUGCAACUCGAGUGCAUGAAGCUGGAAUUACUAGUAAUCGUGGAUCAGCGUGCCACGGUGAAUGCGUUCCCGGGUCUUGUACACACCGCCCGUCACACCAUGGGAGUUGGUUCUACCUUAAGGCAAGGUUUUAAACCCUUGACCACGGUAUAGUCAGC